CUUCAACCUCUUCUGGACAAGGCAAUGGGCAGGUUGCCGGGCUGGAAGGGGAAGAAUCUGGCGCGUUCGGGCAGGGUCUCCCUUGCAAAGUCCGUGUUGUGCGCCAUCGCAAGUCAUCACCUCACUGCGCUCCCGCUCCCCACUUGGGAAAUCCAGAAGCUCAAUAAGAUCACUCGUAACUUCAUCUGAUGUGGGGAAGACUCAGAAAACGCGUCUGGUGGACACUCUCUGGUCAACUGGAAGACUGUCUGCCGGCCU
rnacentral:rRNA from 1 species